UACGUAGGGGGCUAGCGUUGUCCGGAUUUAUUGGGCGUAAAGGGCGUGUAGGCGGCCAAGGUAGGUCUGCUGUGAAAACUCGAGGCUCAACCUCGAGACGUCGGCGGAAACCAUCUGGCUAGAGUCCGGAAGAGGAGAGUGGAAUUCCUGGUGUAGCGGUGAAAUGCGCAGAUAUCAGGAAGAACACCCGUGGCGAAGGCGGCUCUCUGGGACGGUACUGACGCUGAGACGCGAAAGCGUGGGGAGCGAACAGG
rnacentral:rRNA from 1 species